rnacentral:rRNA from 1 species
AAUACUCGCUGUUAGCGAUACACAGUUAGCGGCUAAGCGAAAGCGUUAAGUAUUCCACCUGGGGAGUACGCCCGCAAGGGUGAAACUCAAAGGAAUUGACGGGGGCCCGCACAAGCGGAGGAGCAUGUGGUUUAAUUCGAUGAUACGCGAGGAACCUUACCCGGGCUUGAAAGUUAGUGAAUGAUUUAGAGAUAGAUCAGUGAGCAAUCACACGAAACUAGGUGCUGCAUGGCUGUCGUCAGCUCGUGCCGUGAGGUGUUGGGUUAAGUCCCGCAACGAGCGCAACCCCUAUGUUUAGUUGCCAGCACGUUAAGGUGGGGACUCUAAACAGACUGCCUGUGCAAACAGAGAGGAAGGAGGGGACGACGUCAAGUCAUCAUGGCCCUUACGUCCGGGGCUACACACGUGCUACAAUGGAUGGUACAGAGGGCAGCAAGCUGGCAACAGCAAGCAAAUCUCAAAGAGCCAUUCACAGUUCGGAUAGAGGUCUGCAACUCGACCUCUUGAAGUUGGAUUCGCUAGUAAUCGCGUAUCAGCAAUGACGCGGUGAAUACGUUCCCGGGCCUUGUACACACCGCCCGUCAAGCCAUGGAAGUUGGGGGUACCUAAAGUAUGUAACCGCAAGGAGCGUCCUAGGGUAAAA